rnacentral:rRNA from 1 species
UACGGAGGGUGCAAGCGUUAAUCGGAAUUACUGGGCGUAAAGCGCACGCAGGCGGUCUGUCAAGUCGGGUGUGAAAUCCCCGGGCUCAACCUGGGAACUGCAUUCGAAACUGGCAGGAUGGAGUCUUGUAGAGGGGGGUAGAAUUCCAGGUGUAGCGGUGAAAUGCGUAGAGAUCUGGAGGAAUACCGGUGGCGAAGGCGGCCCCCUGGACAAAGACUGACGCUCAGGUGCGAAAGCGUGGGGAGCAAACAGG